rnacentral:lncRNA from 1 species
GCCUUUGUUUCAUGUCGUCGUCUGUGAUUUUUGAGUGAUGUCAAUGUCAGGAUUUGAACGCGACACUGAUGCUAACCAUGCAGUAGUGGAGGAGGAAUGAUGAGUGGAGAAGUCAAAAACUCGAUCAAAGGUUGUAGUACUAGGCCUUGUUUAGAUGUAAAAAAUUUUUAGAUUUCGCUAAUAUAGCAUUUUUGUUUGUUUGUGGCAAAUAUUGUUCAAUCAUAGACUAACUAGGGUUAAAAGAUUCGUCUCGCGAUUUACAGGCAAACUGUGUAAUUAGUUUUAUUUUCGUCUAUAUUUAAUGCUUUAUGCAUGACUACAAGAUUCAAUGUGAUGAAGAAUCUUGAAAACUUUUUGGAUUUUAGUGAAAACUAAACAAGGCUCUAGUUGGAAAGCUGGUGUAUAUCC